rnacentral:tRNA from 1 species
AUGCCGAUGGAAUUACAUGGUAAAGCGGCGGAGCGAUCCGCAGGUUCCGGGUUCAAGUCCCGGUCGGCCUA